rnacentral:rRNA from 1 species
CCUACGGGAGGCAGCAGUGGGGAAUAUUGGUCAAUGGGCGGGAGCCUGAACCAGCCAAGCCGCGUGAGGGAAGAAGGCGCCAGGCGUGGUAAACUUCUUUUGCCGGGGAGCAAAGGGCGCCACGCGUGGCGUUGUUAGUGUACCCGAAGAAAACGCAUCGGCUAACUCCGUGCCGGCAGCCGCGGUAAUCGGGAGUAUGCGAGCGUUAUCCGGAUGUAUGGGGUUUAAGGGGUGCGAAGGGGGGCGGGAAAGUCAGCGGGAAAAGCCGGGGCCUAAACCACGGUGAGCCGUUGAAACUGGCGGACUAGAGACGGCGAGAGGUACGCGGAAGGCGUGGUGUAGCGGUGAAAUGCAUAGAUAUCGGGAAGAACUCCGAUUGCGAAGGCAGCGUACCGGAGCGGAACUGACGUUGAGGCACGAAAGCGUGGGUAUCGAACAGGAUUAGAUACCCCUGUAGUC